ensembl:snoRNA SNORA66 Small nucleolar RNA SNORA66
GUGCAAACUCGAUCACUAGCUCUGCCUGAUGUGGCAGAAGCUAAGGGAACCAGAUUUGCUAAAGUAAUUAUGGUGAUAGAAAUGUACUAGCCUCAGAUGUUACUGAGGUUGGCCAUUCUAUCUUAGUACAGUG